ACCCUACCCUACCUCUGAGAGUGCCGGCAGCAAUGGCCAAGGAAGAAAAAUCAUCAGUGGAGUCUGGCCCUGCCAAGGAAGAAUCCCAGAAAGCUCUAGGAGACAUCUCUAAGGUCCCAAGCCAUUAAGGCCCCUGGUCAUCCUGAAUCCCAAUCCAGAGUUCCUUCCAUGUCAGCUUUCCUAGAGCUUUGCUUAAUUUCUUCGAGUGGGAGAAGUGAAGUUGACUUCCAAGACUGGGUGUUCCAUCACUAAGAUACCGGCCUCUGCUUUCUGACACAAACAGGACAUUUGCGACAGGAAUGUGAACAAGUUUCAUCCUGAUUCCUGGUGAUAAGACAUUGUGUGCUGACCUCUUGAGCCCCAGCCAUUGGUCAGGUAAUAACUUGGAGGAACACACACAGGCUAUCUUCAAAGCCACUGCUCAGCAGUGGAAGAGGAGGAUUCGUUUCUUAGACCACCUGGGAGCUGGACAGGUCCCCUUAGGAGUGUCCAGCUUCUUUCUUGUCCCUUGGAGCCCCACUCUGCAGAAAGCCCAUUGUCAUGCUAG